rnacentral:rRNA from 1 species
CACUCCUACGGGAGGCAGCAGUGGGGAAUUUUGGACCAUGGGCGAAAGCCUGAUCCAGCAAUGCCGCGUGAGUGAAGAAGGCCUUCGGGUUGUAAAGCUCUUUUGUCAGGGAAGAAACGGUGAGAGCUAAUAUCUCUUGCUAAUGACGGUACCUGAAGAAUAAGCACCGGCUAACUACGUGCCAGCAGCCGCGGUAAUACGUAGGGUGCAAGCGUUAAUCGGAAUUACUGGGCGUAAAGCGUGCGCAGGCGGUUUUGUAAGUCUGAUGUGAAAUCCCCGGGCUCAACCUGGGAAUUGCAUUGGAGACUGCAAGGCUAGAAUCUGGCAGAGGGGGGUAGAAUUCCACGUGUAGCAGUGAAAUGCGUAGAUAUGUGGAGGAACACCGAUGGCGAAGGCAGCCCCCUGGGUCAAGAUUGACGCUCAUGCACGAAAGCGUGGGGAGCAAACAGGAUUAGAUACCCUUGUAGUCCCA